rnacentral:rRNA from 1 species
ACAUAGGAGUUUGAUCAUGACUCAGAAUGAACGCUGGCGGCAUUGCUUUACACAUGCAAGUCGAACGGUUACAGGGAGCUUGCUCCGCUGACGAGUGGCGAACGGGUGAGUAAAUAUAUCGGAACGUACCCAAGAGUGGGGGAUAACGUAGCGAAAAGUUACGCUAAUACCGCAUACGAUCUAAGGAUGAAAGUGGGGGACCGCAAGGCCUCAUGCUCCUGGAGCGGCCGAUAUCUGAUUAGCUAGUUGGUGAGGUAAAGGCUCACCAAGGCAACGAUCAGUAGCUGGUCUGAGAGGACGACCAGCCACACUGGGACUGAGACACGGCCCAGACUCCUACGGGAGGCAGCAGUGGGGAAUUUUGGACAAUGGGGGCAACCCUGAUCCAGCAAUGCCGCGUGAGUGAAGAAGGCCUUCGGGUUGUAAAGCUCUUUUGUCAGGGAAGAAACGGUUUUGGCUAAUAUCCAGACCUAAUGACGGUACCUGAAGAAUAAGCACCGGCUAACUACGUGCCAGCAGCCGCGGUAAUACGUAGGGUGCAAGCGUUAAUCGGAAUUACUGGGCGUAAAGCGUGCGCAGGCGGUUUUGUAAGUCUGUCGUGAAAUCCCCGGGCUUAACCUGGGAAUGGCGAUGGAGACUGCAAGGCUAGAGUUUGGCAGAGGGGGGUAGAAUUCCACGUGUAGCAGUGAAAUGCGUAGAGAUGUGGAGGAACACCGAUGGCGAAGGCAGCCCCCUGGGUCAAAACUGACGCUUAU